CCCCAAAUUUGUUUCAACCAACAUGAUUAAAUAAGUCUCAAUUAAAUCAACCAAUCAAACUGUGAUAAUUAAAAAAACUCAAACACACAAUCACAAAUUAACCAUCAAACUCAAACAUGAAUUACACAAAUCAAUGACAUCACAGAAAAAAUGAAAAGAGAUAUAGUUGAAGAAUUUGGACCUCAAUUUUAUUUCAAAUGGGAUCUUUCGAGGGAAGCUGCUUCACGGUCUCGAUGAACCUCAAUAAUGAACCAAAUCCAACUUUGAUUUCUAUUUCCCCAAAUUGAAC
rnacentral:lncRNA from 1 species